AUUGAACGCUGGCGGCAUGCCUUACACAUGCAAGUCGAACGGUAACGGGCCUUCGGGUGCCGACGAGUGGCGAACGGGUGAGUAAUGCAUCGGAACGUACCUUUCAGUGGGGGAUAACGUAGCGAAAGUUACGCUAAUACCGCAUAUUCUGUGAGCAGGAAAGCAGGGGAUCGCAAGACCUUGCGCUGAUUGAGCGGCCGAUGUCAGAUUAGCUAGUUGGUGAGGUAAAGGCUCACCAAGGCGACGAUCUGUAGCGGGUCUGAGAGGAUGAUCCGCCACACUGGAACUGAGACACGGUCCAGACUCCUACGGGAGGCAGCAGUGGGGAAUUUUGGACAAUGGGGGCAACCCUGAUCCAGCCAUGCCGCGUGAGUGAAGAAGGCCUUCGGUUGUAAAGCUCUUUCGGCCGGGAAGAAAUCGCAUGGGCUAAUACCCUGUGCGGAUGACGGUACCGGCAUAAGAAGCACCGGCUAACUACGUGCCAGCACG
rnacentral:rRNA from 1 species